rnacentral:piRNA from 1 species
UGCCGAGCUCACAUUUUGCGACUAGAGCA